rnacentral:other from 1 species
CGCUCCCUGGGGUGUUAGCCAGUCAAUAAAGACCUCGAGCCGAUGCGUAUUACCCAGGAGGGGAAGUUGGUUGUUGUGUGCAUGUCCGCAUGACGGAAAGCCUUAUUCAGCCAAUACCCCGCCACCUUGAACUUCAGGGUUCAAGGGCUUUAUGUUUGACAGCGGCACAGUGGGGAGCCC